CAAGUCAGUCUCGGGGUUUCUCUCCUUUGGCAGAGGCAACAUGUUGUGAGAGAAGAAGUCCAUGCAUGCUGUUAUUUCUGCCAAAGGAGAGUUGCCCUGUGACUGCCUU
rnacentral:pre_miRNA from 1 species